rnacentral:rRNA from 1 species
AGCAGCCGCGGUAAUUCCAGCUCCAAUAGCGUAUAUUAAAGUUGUUGCAGUUAAAAAGCUCGUAGUUGAAUUUCGGGGUUCAUCCGUUGGUCGGGCUUUUUUGGUCUGUACUGGCGUGAUGGAUUCCUACCUUCUGAAUAACCGGCAUGUCAUUAAUUUGGUGCGCCGGGGAAGCAGGACUGUUACCUUGAAAAAUUAGAGUGCUUAAAGCAGGCUAUCGCCUGAAUACAUUAGCAUGGAAUAAUGAAAUAGGACGGCAUGGUUCUAUUUUGUUGGUUUCUAGGAUCACCGUAAUGAUUAAUAGGGAUAGUUGGGGGCAUUAGUAUUCAAUUGUCAGAGGUGAAAUUCUUGGAUUUAUUGAAGACUAACUUCUGCGAAAGCAUUUGCCAAGGAUGUUUUCAUUAAUCAAGAACGAAAGUUAGGGGAUCGAAGACGAUCAGAUACCGUCGUAGUCUUAACCAUAAACUAUGCCGACUAGGGAUCGG